rnacentral:lncRNA from 13 species
UCUGCCAGUGCUCACAGGGUAGGAGAUGAUCAUCCAUUCUGACUUGUCCCAUCAAUGGAAACAGAAUCAAGCGUGCUGAUGCUUCUUAAAUGCCUCAAUCAAGUAGCCAUGACCAGAAAGGCCCAUUCAUCCUUUUACACCUUCAACCGCAGCCUUCUUCAGAGUGCUAAUGUUUUCCUCCCAUUCAUGGCACCGUCGAGAAAAGCUCACAGGCA